UUGACCUCGGAUUAGGUAGGGAUACCCGCUGAACUUAAGCAUAUCAAUAAGCGGAGGAAAAGAAACCAACAGGGAUUGCCUCAGUAACGGCGAGUGAAGCGGCAACAGCUCAAAUUUGAAAUCUGGCUCUUUCAGGGUCCGAGUUGUAAUUUGUAGAAGAUGCUUUGGGUGUGGCUCCGGUCUAAGUUCCUUGGAACAGGACGUCAUAGAGGGUGAGAAUCCCGUACGUGACUGGUUGCCUCCGCCCGUGUAAAGCUCUUUCGACGAGUCGAGUUGUUUGGGAAUGCAGCUCAAAAUGGGUGG
rnacentral:rRNA from 1 species